CAUACAGAGAGAGUCAGAGUCACUCAGGUACAGUUUAAUUAACUGCAGCUAUUAAAGAUUAACUGCAGCUAUUAAAGGUUAACUGCAGUGUAUUAAAGGUUAAAUGCAGUGUAUUAAAGGUUAAAUGCAGUAUAUUAAAGGUUAAAUGCAGUAUAUUAAAGGUUAAAUGCAGUAUAUUAAAGGUUAAAUGCAGUAUAUUAAAGGUUAAAUGCAGUGUAUUAAAGGUUAAAUGCAGUAUAUUAAAGGUUAAAUGCAGUAUAUUAAAGGUUAAAUGCAGUAUAUUAAAGGUUAAAUGCAGUAUAUUAAAGGUUAAAUACAGUAUAUUAAAGGUUAAAUGCAGUAUAUUAAUUGUUUCAUAAUGAGCUCUAAUUAAAAUUCAC